GUGAAUUUGUAGCCUUCAAGGCUCACAUUCUCUAUCCUUUACACACCUGUGCACCCUUCUGAAGCGGAGAGUUAUUAGGCAUCAGCCGAGCGCCUCCCUUCGGUUAUUAUAUCAAACUCUAUAUUUAUUUUUGUUUUACUGUAUAUUGUCUGAGUACUAUAUAAUAGUUA
rnacentral:misc_RNA from 1 species